GAUGAACGCUGGCGGCGUGCCUAAUACAUGCAAGUCGAGCGAACAGACGAGGAGCUUGCUCCUCUGACGUUAGCGGCGGACGGGUGAGUAACACGUGGAUAACCUACCUAUAAGACUGGGAUAACUUCGGGAAACCGGAGCUAAUACCGGAUAAUAUAUUGAACCGCAUGGUUCAAUAGUGAAAGACGGUUUUGCUGUCACUUAUAGAUGGAUCCGCGCCGCAUUAGCUAGUUGGUAAGGUAACGGCUUACCAAGGCAACGAUGCGUAGCCGACCUGAGAGGGUGAUCGGCCACACUGGAACUGAGACACGGUCCAGACUCCUACGGGAGGCAGCAGUAGGGAAUCUUCCGCAAUGGGCGAAAGCCUGACGGAGCAACGCCGCGUGAGUGAUGAGGGUCUUCGGAUCGUAAAACUCUGUUAUUAGGGGAGAACAAAUGUGUAAGUAACUAUGCACGUCUUGACGGUACCUAAUCAGAAAGCCACGGCUAACUACGUG
rnacentral:rRNA from 1 species